CCUACGGGUGGCAGCAGUGAGGAAUAUUGGUCAAUGGCCGAAGGGCUGAACCAGCAACGUCGCGUGAGGGAUGAAGGUCCUACGGAUUGUAAACCUCUUUUGUCAGGGAGCAAAGAGCGACACGAGUGGCGCUUUGCGAGUCCCUGCAGAAAUAGCAUGGGCUAACUAAGUGCCUGCAGCCGCGGUCAUAAGGAGGAAGCGAGCGUUAGCCGGAUUUAUUGGGUUUAAAGGGGGCGCGGGCGGAAGGUCAAGUCAGCGUGAAAAUUUCGGGGCUCAACCCCGUCGUGCCGUUGAAACUGGCGUUCUUGAGUGAACGAGAGGUAAGCGGAAUGCGUAGUGUAGCGGUGAAAUGCAUAGAUAUCAGGCAGAACUCCGGUGGCGAAGGCGGCUUUCCGGCGUGUAACUGACGCUGAGGCACGAAAGCGUGGGUAGCGAACAGGAUUAGAUACCCUUGUAGUC
rnacentral:rRNA from 1 species